UUUGCUAGUGAUACGGACAAAAAUCCCAUCGAUGGAGAGGUUACCUAUUAUGGAGCUAUUCAGGAUAUUAUUGAGAUUAAUUAUUGGGGUUGUUUUAGUGUUGUAUUGUUUAGAUGUGAUUGGUUUAUAAUGAAAUAGAUGGAUAUGGGUUAACUCGGGUGAAUUUCAACAGAUUAUGCAGUACCGAUGACCCCUUUGUAUUGGCAUCUGAAGUGCAUCAAGUUUUUUAUGUGGAGGAUCCAAAUGAGAAAAAUAUUUAUUAUGAAAUGACCAAAAUCUCUAUUGAUUUGUACGAUUUAGAGGAAGAAAAUUGUCCUAAUAUUGGAGAUACAUUUUGGAGUGAGCUCGACGACGACAUUGAUUCAUCAAAUAGAUUAUCCGAUGGUGACAUCGUAUGGUUGAGAGAAGAUGUACCUGGUGAUGUUGUUGAUAUGCCAUCUCAUGCACAACACUCAUAAGAUAUGGAAACAUCAGAAGAUGAAGAUGAUUUUGAUGACACUGAUGGAGAUUGGAUGGUUCCUGAUUAUUGAAUAUGAUAACAUUAGAAGAGUUAUCUUUUGUAUUUUCUUCUUUUCUUUUUUGUACCAUUAAUUUGAAAGAGAAUAGAAAAGAAUGAUACUUGAUCUGAUCUCCUUUUUUGGUUAUUCUGUAAUUCAAUUUUUGUGGAUUGUAAAUUAAUUAUUUUUUCCAUGUCAAUCAUGAUUAAAUUCUGAAAAGUGUGAUAUGUAAUUGGAAACGUGUGUUGGUGUCUUUACUUGUCAUUGGUUGCCUUGGUCCUCAUAUCUUCACUCCUCUGUUAGACCAUCAUAAUAACCUUUUAUGGCUUCUUACCUUUUUUUUCCAGGGUGUUGCAAAUUAGUUACGUGAAGAGAAUACUGCCGUUAUUGAAUUUGUUGGUGUAGCUAAGAAAGAUUGGAGUCAUGAUUCAAGAAGGGACAAGACAAAAGGAAAAAGUGAAAAGCUGGACAUUCGCUCAAGCUAGAACACUUACAUCUUUGGCAAAUCAAAAAGGUUGUUGCGGACUAGAAAAAUGAAUAAGCUAGUUCUAUAUGGUUAACUGAAGAGCGUUGGGUUCUGAAAAAUAUAAUGGAAGAACAUCAGCAACCAAUGCCACAACAUCAGAGGGUAGGAGCCCAUUUGCAAAAUGAUUCAACCACCCCUACAACACAUUGAACAAGG